rnacentral:tRNA from 1 species
GAGGUUGUGGCUCAGCGGUAGAGCGCGCGCCUGGCGUGUAUGAGGCCCUGGGUUCGAUCCUCAGCACCACA